rnacentral:rRNA from 1 species
UACGUAGGGUGCGAGCGUUAAUCGGAAUUACUGGGCGUAAAGCGUGCGCAGGCGGUUAUGCAAGACAGAUGUGAAAUCCCCGGGCUCAACCUGGGAACUGCAUUUGUGACUGCAUAACUAGAGUGUGGCAGAGGGAGAUGGAAUUCCGCGUGUAGCAGUGAAAUGCGUAGAUAUGCGGAGGAACACCAAUGGCGAAGGCAGGUUACUACCAAUAUAUUGACGCUGAUGGACGAAAGCGUGGGGAGCGAACAGG